UCUUCCGUAGUGUAAUGGUAGCACACGAGCUUUUGGUGCUUUUAGUUCGGGUUCGAAUCCUGACGGAAGAA
rnacentral:tRNA from 2 species